rnacentral:rRNA from 1 species
GACGAACGCUGGCGGCGUGCCUAAUACAUGCAAGUCGAACGCAGUGGGGACGGGUGAGUAACACGUGGGUAACCUCCCAUCAGAGGGGAUAACACUUGGAAACAGGUGCUAAACCGAUACUGAUGGAUGGACCCGCGGUGCAUUAGCUAGUUGGUGAGGUAACGGCUCACCAAGGCCACGAUGCAUAGCCGACCUGAGAGGGUGAUCGGCCACACUGGGACUGAGACACGGCCCAGACUCCUACGGGAGGCAGCAGUAGGGAAUCUUCGGCAAUGGACGAAAGUCUGACCGAGCAACGCCGCGUGUAUGAAGAAGGUCUUCGGGUUGUAAAGUACUGUUAGCGGGGAGGCGUUACCCAAACAAGAAGCAACGGCUAACUACGUGCCAGCAGCCGCGGUAAUAC